rnacentral:rRNA from 1 species
GAUGAACGCUGGCGGCGUGCCUAAUACAUGCAAGUCGAGCGAACGGACGAGAAGCUUGCUUCUCUGAUGUUAGCGGCGGACGGGUGAGUAACACGUGGAUAACCUACCUAUAAGACUGGGAUAACUUCGGGAAACCGUAGCUAAUACCGGAUAAUAUUUUGAACCGCAUGGUUCAAAAGUGAAAGACGGUCUUGCCGUCACUUAUAGAUGGAUCCGCGCUGCAUUAGCUAGUUGGUAAGGUAACGGCUUACCAAGGCAACGAUGCAUAGCCGACCUGAGGGGGUGAUCGGCCACACUGGAACUGAGACACGGUCCAGACUCCUACGGGAGGCAGCAGUAGGGAAUCUUCCGCAAUGGGCGAAAGCCUGACGGAGCAACGCCGCGUGAGUGAUGAAGGUCUUCGGAUCGUAAAACUCUGUUAUUAGGGAAGAACAUAUGUGUAAGUAACUGUGCACAUCUUGACGGUACCUAAUCAGAAAGCCACGGCUAACUACGUG